GAGGUCCUAGCUUAAUGAAAGCAUCUGAGUUGCAUUCAGAGGAUGCAGGGUAAUGUCCUGCGGAUUUUA
rnacentral:tRNA from 1 species